rnacentral:lncRNA from 1 species
AAAGUGCAGAGGAAGACAAACAAAGAUGAUGCAUGUCCUCCAAGAAGCAGAAUCAAAAUAUAAAUAAAAGACUGGCUUAAGAUGAAAGGAAACCUUACAAACGAAAAGAAGCCAGAUGAGAGGCACUUAACUGAGAAUGAAAAGAAACUGAGUGGACAAAAUAAUUAUGAGAAGAUGAACCUUCAAAUCAGAAAGAGGGCAAAAAGCUUAUUUGAUACUAUGGGAACUCAAAAGAGAGUGAACACAAAUGUGAAAAUUCCAGGAGUAAAGAAAAGUAGCAUAGCUAAAUUAAGAGCAUGAGAAAAUGUAUACAAUUUUGAGUAAUAACAGAAAUCAAAAGUAACUAUUGUAUGUUAUAUUUUAGUAGAGCAACACUGAAGAAGAAUGAAAACAAGAAAUAAUAUUAAAUAUGAACAUAUGGA